rnacentral:snRNA from 1 species
GGAUGUGAGGGCGAUCUGGCUGCGACAUCUGACACCUCAUUGAUUGCCAGGGUUGACUGGGCUGAUCUGGCUGGCUAGGCGGGUGUCCCCUUCCUCCCUCACCGCUCCAUGUGCGGCCCUCCAGCAGCUGAGCUCGGUUGAAGAGGACGACCUUCCCCGAUAGAGGAGGACCGUUCUUCGGUCAAGGGUAUACGAGUGGCUGCGCUCCCCUGCUAGAACCUCCAAACAGGCCCUCAAAAUAGAAUUUUAUUGUACUGAAUAUUUUAAAAACAAGUAGAACCUUAAUUGUAGUUUUAAAAUCUUU